rnacentral:rRNA from 1 species
GACGAACGCUGGCGGCGUGCUUAACACAUGCAAGUCGAACGGAAAGGCCCUGCUUUUGUGGGGUGCUCGAGUGGCGAACGGGUGAGUAACACGUGAGUAACCUGCCCUUGACUUUGGGAUAACUUCAGGAAACUGGGGCUAAUACCGGAUAGGAGCUCCUGCUGCAUGGUGGGGGUUGGAAAGUUUCGGCGGUUGGGGAUGGACUCGCGGCUUAUCAGCUUGUUGGUGGGGUAGUGGCUUACCAAGGCUUUGACGGGUAGCCGGCCUGGGAGGGUGACCGGCCACAUUGGGACUGAGAUACGGCCCAGACUCCUACGGGAGGCAGCGGUGGGGAAUAUUGCGCAAUGGGCGGAAGCCUGAUGCAGCAACGCCGCGUGCGGGAUGACGGCCUUCGGGUUGUAAACCGCUUUCGCCUGUGACGAAGCGUGAGUGACGGUAAUGGGUAAAGAAGCACCGGCUAACUACGUG